UCCGGACCCGUUGAGGUCCCUUCCAAUCCCACAACCGAGACCAAUUAACAUCAUUAAGGAAAUUGAAGUUUCCUUGAAUCCAAUCAAAAGCUGAUUUAAAGAGAAAUUGCUUGAGCUAGUAAAAUGCUAGAAAACGGUAUUAGCACAUUGGAACUGUGAAGGAGGGGGUACAACCGCGAUGAAAUUGAGCAUGGACAGAGAGACCAAGCCGUUAAAAUGCGUCCAAUUGCACUGGCCAUUAGAAUGGACAUAGGCACACACCGACUUGUCAAUCAUAUCUAAAGAAAUAGCCUUACGGGCAACAUUUGCAAGAAUAAUCCUCCAUUAACCAUUUGUCCCACUAAACCCUUACUGAGUUCCCAUUCCCAAUAGUCCAAUUGCUACAAGAGAUCAUAUCUUUCCAAUCCCUAGCAAUACCACACCAUAGGGGAGAGGCAUUUUGAUGUGUUAUGUCACUGGUAAGGGGGGAGCUUUGAAAUGAUACUUAUGUAAAGGGGGGGGGGAGAAGCUUUGAAACGAUACUUAUGUAAAAGGACUUGCGCCCAUAGAGAACAAGGUUUAAUAAGAAGAUUCUAGCAUAUCUUCAUCAUAUAAGCAUGGUUCAGAGAGGUCAGAUUCCGAAAACCCAAGUCCCCCAUCUUUUAGGCUGAGCAACAUUACUCCAUGGGACCAGCACCAUGAGAGAGGUAUUAGAAUAGGACCCCAGACGAAACUUCUACACAUUUUUUCUACCUUAGUACAAACAUAUAUGGGAAUUCUUGAGGUCUGAAACUUCUACACAUUUUUUCUACCUUGGUACAAACAUAUAUGGGAAUUCUUGAGGUCUACAUGGCAUACCGAGGGUGAUACAAAACCUGCUUUUAAAACUUAUUCAAGAAAGAAAUUUAACUCCUCACGGCAUUGCACAUGGGUUUAGAGUAUUUGGAAGAAGUUAAAACUGUUGGAGAAGAUGGAAUUAAUCGGUUGCUAGAAUUUCUAAAAGUAUAGAAACUGCUUCACAUGCCUGGUUUUUCUGCUGCAGUUCACUUAUUCACUUCCCCAUUUUUCCAAUUACUUAGGUUUUGACUUGCUUUCCUGUCAGUAUUUAUAUUUUGUUUUCUUAUUCUUUAUUUCAUCAUUAUUGAAGUAUUAAUUAGAGUUUUAAGGAGUCUGGUCCUCUCCAUACGGACUAAGCAAAUAAAGCUUUCCCUUUUCUCAAUAAAUUUUCUUUCUUUUCUUUUUAUUUUCUGUUGCUGCUGCUAUCACUGCUACCAGAGCAUAUCAUGGUAGUGUCCACUCGAGCCUCCACCUCAAAGGGUAACCAACCACCACAAUUG
rnacentral:lncRNA from 1 species